UACCUGCAUGCUAAAUUUCAAUUGAAAUGAGCCAAUGGUUUAGCUGAAGGAGUCAUGUAUACCUGGCACUUCUCUUUAUCCAACACUGGAUGCAUCAUAAACAUCACAACCAAUGCCUUACAGCUGUUACCGCGUGUCAGAAAUUAAGUACCUCCAGGUUAUAGGCAACAAUGUGAGUGUGCAAAGGUUUUCAUUGAUCUUGCUUGUAGUAUGUGUACAGCUAUGUUUUUUUUUCACUAAUGCUGCAAUAUUGCUGGCAACACUAAGUGCUUGCAGUCCAUGAAACAAAACUGAAGCUCGUGAAGAUUCAAGCAAAUGUCUCAUUAUGAUUUAGAUAUAGUAUGGUGGCCUUGUACUGAGUUUUUGGGGCAGUGAAAGACCUGAACAUCCAUCAGGGCUAUAGAUUUGAUCAACUUGCUGUACUGUAGCGCAUAUUUAAAGGAGUUGCUCAGCUUGCUCAGUGUAAAAAUGGCUUCAUGGCACUUCAUUGUAGUAGCUACCAGCUUCGACUAGUAGAUGCUACUAAAGGCAUCACAGUGGCUACACAGCGGAAGAAAUUAAUGGACAUGGAGUGGCCGAGACAUGGCAAUGUCUGUUCUCUUCCCAUCAUUUAAUGCGCUUUGUAACCACAGCGAACAGCACCUAACUUUCCCCUCUUGCCAUCCCUACUUCUGGUGAUUGCGUUAUGGUUUGACUCUUUUGUCUUGAUGUCGCUCUUAGAAAUUGAGUGGUACAUACCAUGUGUCCCACGUUUCUUAUGCCAAAACUUGAAAAUAGGCAAGUGCCACGUAGCUGGACAGAACCAAGGUAAUGUUGUUUCCCGUUGCUUGGAGAAAGCUAGACAAUUUUUUGUGUAUUUUGCCCAAUUCGGUCCAGCUACCUGGCACAUGCAAAUUUUUAAAUUUUGGCACAAGUUAUGCGGGAAAAAUGGUAUGUAUAAGUGUUUCAAGCAUAACUGAUCCUACAAGUCCGUUUUAUUGUCUUGCUGCUCCUCUUCUGUGUUUUCUUGCAUUGCUUCAGCAGUGCAUGGCUGUUUAUUUGAGUGUCUCUGCGUGUGUAUGUGCAUGCACGCACAGUUCUCAUCAUAUUUUUUCAUUACUCAAUUCUGCAUUACAUGUGGGCACCUGCAACAGCUGAAAGUUUAUGCACAGUAUUCUGCUAAUCUAAUGUAAUUUAAUUUAAUGUACAGUCUUCUAAGCAGAAAUGAGCAGAGUGCCUGAAGCCAACUUUUUUUUUUUUUUUAGAUCAAAGUGCAGUUGGUUUAAAUGUUUUCUUCAUUGGCAAAAAGUUAGGUGAAGCCCAAGGUGCAAGGACAGGAUUCUCAUGCUCCUGGCAUGAUUGGUUACCGAUUGUACUAACUGUGUUGACUCUAACUACCAUGAGUCCAAAGGCCAGGUUGAGUCUGGGGCAUUGGCGAAGGAAUUUCCGAAGGCCUCUCAGCGUUUCAGGAAAACUGGCUUUCUUGAGUGGCUCGAGCCAAAGGGUAACAUUUGAAAUGAUGCCAAGAGGUCUUAUAUUUUCUGACCAUGAGUAGCAUUUCAGCUGGAGACACUGGCAUUCUUGCAGUCCAUUCUUUACCUGCAUCACACCUUGUUCACAAAAAAAAAAGGGGGGGGGGGCGGUAAAAAGGAGGACUUGUCUAAGUAUAGACAAGUAUAGUAGUAAAGUGAUUUCCCAUACUUUCAGAUACAUCAAUGUGGCCACCUUCAAUAUACUCCUCAUCAGACACAAUACACUGGUUGCAUCUCUUCUUCCUUUGGGUGAAGCACCCUUGGAAGACCUCUUCUGUUAAGUGCUUUACAAUCCAUGUCAUUGCCUUUUGAAUUGUUGUCACAUCCCCGAAAUGCGACCCUCGGGAGACCAGUUUGCAUUUGGGAGGAAAAAAAAAACUCGCAGGGUCUCUUAUAUUAUCCCUAAGAUGACUUGAAGGCGAAAGCCCAAGUUCCGAAGCAUUACAGAAGGAUGCAUGAUGUACACAUCCCCCUUAAUUCGUUUAGUCUACUUUGCUUAGUCAUUCCUCGUAAUUUGUUUACUCAUUCUCUUAAUUCGUUUACUCAUCCUCUUAAUUCGCUUGUGCAUCCUCUUAAUUUGUUAGUCAUCCCCCUUCAUUUGCUUAGUGUACUUUGCUUAGUCAUCCGUCUUAAUUCCCAAGGUCACGGGUUCGACUCCCACCCAAGGUCGUGGGUUCGAGUGCCUUAACUCUUAAUUAACUGUGCCAUAAUUAACUUCAUUAACAUCAAAGGUAGUGGGUUUGAGUGUCUUAAUUACCUUCUCUUAAUUACGUGUGCCUUAAUAACUUGCUUGCUUUAAUUACCACCAAUGGUGGUCGCUUCAACUCAUACUAAAGGUCUAGGGUUUGAGUGCCUUAACUCUAUCUGAACUGUGCCUGAAUUAGCUUCGCCUAAUUACCACUAGAGGUGGUGGGUUCGAGUGCCUUAA